GAUGAAGAACGCAGCGAAAUGCGAUAAGUAAUGUGAAUUGCAGAAUUCAGUGAAUCAUCGAAUCUUUGAACGCACCUUGCGCCCUUUGGCUAUUCUGAAGGGCAUGCCUGUUUGAGUAUCAUGAACACCUCAACUCUCAUGGUUUGCCAUGAUGAGCUUGGACUUUGGGGGUCUUGCUGGCCUACGGUCGGCUCCUCUCAAAUGAAUCUGCUUGCCAGUGUUUGGUGGCAUCACGGGUGUGAUAACUAUCUACGCUUGUGGUUUCCCGCCAGGUAACCUUCAGUGAUGGAGGUUCGCUGGGGCUCAUAAAUGUCCCUCCACAGUGAGGACAGCUUUUGAACGUUUGAUCUCAAAUCAGGUAGGACUACCCGCUGAACUUAAGCAUAUCAAUAAGCGGAGGA
rnacentral:misc_RNA from 1 species